AUAGCUAGCAGAAAAAUUAAUAUGUUCCCGUUUUGUUUCUAAUUCAUUUUUUACAAAUCUAUCUUCAACAAACCAAGCAUGUUUGGUAGCUACAUCAUUAAUUUUUUGUUUUAUCACUUCAAUGUCACACAUUAAAUCUUUAAUUUCCCAAUUCAUUUUUAUUCUCCUUUCUCUAAUUGAAAAUUAUUCUUUAAUUCUUGUGCGCACCAUUUCAUUAUCAAUUCUAAGUGC
rnacentral:sRNA from 1 species